AUUGAACGCUGGCGGAAUGCUUUACACAUGCAAGUCGAACGGCAGCACGGACUUCGGUCUGGUGGCGAGUGGCGAACGGGUGAGUAAUACAUCGGAACGUGCCCAGUCGUGGGGGAUAACGUAGCGAAAGCUACGCUAAUACCGCAUACGAUCUAAGGAUGAAAGCGGGGGAUCGCAAGACCUCGCGCGAUUGGAGCGGCCGAUGGCAGAUUAGGUAGUUGGUGGGGUAAAGGCUCACCAAGCCGACGAUCUGUAGCUGGUCUGAGAGGACGACCAGCCACACUGGGACUGAGACCCGGCCCAGACUCCUACGGGAGGCAGCAGUGGGGAAUUUUGGACAAUGGGCGCAAGCCUGAUCCAGCCAUUCCGCGUGCAGGAUGAAGGCCCUCGGGUUGUAAACUGCUUUUGUACGGAACGAAAAGGCUCUGGUUAAUACCCGGGGCUCAUGACGGUACCGUAAGAAUAAGCACCGGCUAACUACGUGCCAGCAGCCGCCGUAA
rnacentral:rRNA from 1 species